UUUUCUCAAUCGUCAGUAUUU
ensembl:piRNA 21ur-10856 ncRNA